GGGCUCGCAUCUGCUACACAUAUGCUAAAAUCAAAGCAAUAUAGAGAUUAGCACAGCCCCGCACAAGGAUGACAUACAAAUUCAUGAAGCAUUCCAUAUUUCA
rnacentral:snRNA from 1 species